rnacentral:rRNA from 1 species
GACGAACCGUGCGAACGUUAUUCGGAAUCACUGGGCUUAAAGGGCGCGUAGGCGGGUCCGUAAGUCAGGGGUGAAAUCCCACGGCCCAACCGUGGAAGUGCCUUUGAUACUGCGGCCCUCGAGGGGGAUAGGGGCGUGCGGAACUCAGGGUGGAGCGGUGAAAUGCGUAGAUAUCCUGAGGAACACCGGUGGCGAAGCGGCGACGCGUGAUCCGUCUCUGACGCUGAGGCGCGAAGCCAGGGAAGCAAGCGGG